rnacentral:rRNA from 1 species
AACGAACGCUGGCGGCAGGCCUAACACAUGCAAGUCGAGCGAGGACUUCGGUUCUAGCGGCGGACGGGUGAGUAACGCGUGGGAAUGUGCCCUUCUCUACGGAAUAGCCCUGGGAAACUGGGAGUAAUACCGUAUACGCCCUUUUGGGGAAAGAUUUAUCGGAGAAGGAUCAGCCCGCGUUGGAUUAGGUAGUUGGUGGGGUAAUGGCCUACCAAGCCGACGAUCCAUAGCUGGUUUGAGAGGAUGAUCAGCCACACUGGGACUGAGACACGGCCCAGAAUCCUACGGGAGGCAGCAGUGGGGAAUCUUAGACAAUGGGGGCAACCCUGAUCUAGCCAUGCCGCGUGAGUGAUGAAGGCCUUAGGGUUGUAAAGCUCUUUCAGCUGGGAAGAUAAUGACGGUACCAGCAGAAGAAGCCCCGGCUAACUCCGUG